AGAUUGUUUUUGUCCCGCCGAAAUCGAGCAAAGCACGCUGGAACUUGUAGUCCUUGAGGCCCCUUCCCUAGGUCCUUCGAGCUACUCCGUCUGGCCCCGCCUAUUCUCUGCUCUCCUGAACCUUUAGGCUUGUCUCGGCCCAUUUGAAGACCAGGAAGUUGAUCAAUCCCGAGGCUGCUGAGAGACGGUGGCGCGAUUGGGACAGUCGCCAGGGAUGGCUGAGCGUGAAGAUGCAGCGGGUGUCCGGGCUGCUCUCCUGGACGCUGAGCAGAGUCCUGUGGCUCUCCGGCCUCUCUGAGCCGGGAGCUGCCCGGCAGCCCCGGAUCAUGGAAGAGAAAGCGCUAGAGGUUUAUGAUUUGAUUAGAACUAUCCGGGACCCAGAAAAGCCCAAUACUUUAGAAGAACUGGAAGUGGUCUCGGAAAGUUGUGUGGAAGUUCAGGAGAUAAAUGAAGAAGAAUAUCUGGUUAUUAUCAGGUUCACGCCAACAGUACCUCAUUGCUCUUUGGCGACUCUUAUUGGGCUGUGCUUAAGAGUAAAACUUCAGCGAUGUUUACCAUUUAAACAUAAGUUGGAAAUCUACAUUUCUGAAGGAACCCACUCAACAGAAGAAGACAGUGAGGAAACCUAGGCAUUUCAAAGAAGUAAUUUUUGCAGUGGACUCCGAGUGCACUAGAGCCCACGGAUGUUGACUGGUUUAGGCCAGUGGCUACACAUCUGUAAAGAAUAUCCAGUGCUAGGGACCUUGACUUAUGAGCUUCAAUAAGCAGAUAAAUGACAAAGAGCGAGUGGCAGCUGCAAUGGAAAACCCCAACUUACGGGAAAUUGUGGAACAGUGUGUCCUUGAACCUGACUGAUAGCUGUUUUAAGAGCCACUGGCCUGUAAUUGUUUGAUAUAUUUGUUUAAACUCUUUGUAUAAUGUCAGAGACUCAUGUUUAAUACAUAGGUGAUUUGUACCUCAGAGCAUUUUUUAAAGGAUUCUUUCCAAGCGAGAUUUAAUUAUAAGGUAGUACCUAAUUUGUUCAAUGUAUAACAUUCUCAGGAUUUGUAACACUUAAAUGAUCAGACAGAAUAAUAUUUUCUAGUUAUUAUGUGUAAGAUGAGUUGCUAUUUUUCUGAUGCUCAUUCUGAUACAACUACUUUUCGUGUCAAAUAUCUACUGUGCCCAAAUAUACUCAAUUUAAAUCAUUACUCUGUAAAAUAAAUAAGCAGAUGAUUCUUAUAA